UCGUACAGUGGCUCAGCCUC
rnacentral:miRNA from 1 species